rnacentral:rRNA from 1 species
AACGAACGCUGGCGGCAUGCCUAACACAUGCAAGUCGAACGAGACCUUCGGGUCUAGUGGCUCACGGGUGCGUAACGCGUGGGAACCUGCCCUUAGGUUCGGAAUAACUCCCCGAAAGGGGUGCUAAUACCGGAUAAUGUCUUCGGACCAAAGAUUUAUCGCCUUUGGAUGGGCCCGCGUUGGAUUAGCUAGUUGGUAGGGUAAAAGCCUACCAAGGCGACGAUCCAUAGCUGGUCGGAGAGGAUGAUCAGCCACACUGGGACUGAGACACGGCCCAGACUCCUACGAGAGGCAGCAGUGGGGAAUAUUGGACAAUGGGCGAAAGCCUGAUCCAGCAAUGCCGCGUGAGUGAUGAAGGCCUUAGGGUUGUAAAGCUCUUUUGCCCGGGAUGAUAAUGACAGUACCGGGAGAAUAAGCUCCGGCUAACUCCGUG